UCAUACUCUCAGGGAACAAGCACCAAUUAUUAAUAGAUUGAUGUAAGAUUCUUGUAGCUGGCAAGUUUCAUUCAACCAUCCCUAUACUAAGGUGUCAGGACUUCAGAGGCAACCCUGAGAUGCCAACUUAAUAUGCUUUUAUCAGAAAAGAAUUUCCUCAUCCUGCAUCGCAAAUUUUGAAGGAUUUACAGUAAAAGACAUGGUAGAUGAUCUCACCACUUUUGUCUACUAAGUCACAGAUUGGCAUAGUCACCAAGCUCUUAGCUCUGUCAUCUAUGAUAACCACAAUAAUCAGAUGUUACUAUCAUUAAGUUUGGCUCUCUGACUUUUUAUGCUUCCUAUGUGUUUUGCUGCAUUUUUAAUUGAUGUUAACCUCUGAAGCAUGGAAAGCCGAUUCCUUACAUUCAUCUCAUGUUAUGAAGGAUCUGUCUUGUCAUUAGUUCAUAAUACUGUUCUUGUGAUGUUGGAUGCUUGACAGACUAUAUACAUUGGGUGUCUUUUCAUUGACAUUAAAAGGUUGGUUGACACAAGUAUGUCAUCCUUUGUUUCAGGAACAUGAAUAGCCUAAAAAAUUCUGAAGUAAAUAUUACACUAAAACAUUCAUCUUUGUCUAUUGCUUUCAGUUUGUUUCAGUCUUUAAAUCAAGUCAAGAAGGGUAGCCACAGUUUUUGAUAGUAUAGUUAAUUUACAUGGUUAAUGCCAUCAUCUUCAAGACAGGUAAUAAUUUAAGCUUUCGAUGCCGCUGGUGUGAAGACAACAUAAGCUUGUGGUUUCAAUUCCUAUAUUAGCUGUUGUUGAUGUUGGUGAUUCACUAAACUUGAGUGGUAGAAGAAGCAUCAUGUACUGUUGCUGUCAAUGGACUCUGCGUCAAAUGUGCCUCCUUGUUCGAUGAAGAACACGAAUCCUCGGGCAUAUCAUUGGAACUGUAUUUUUCAUCUGUUGUGCCUCUGAUGGAUCAUCAACUGCAACAUUGAAACAAUGGUGUUUUGUUUGGCCUCUAUUCAUUAGCAGUGAAAAUUGGAUGAGAUGUCUGUGAUCAUUCAUCAACUGCUGAGAAACUGUUUAAGAUGAGAACACAUCGUCAAUUCAAGCAAUG